UACGGAGGGUGCAAGCGUUAUCCGGAUUCACUGGGUUUAAAGGGUGCGUAGGCGGGCAGGUAAGUCAGUGGUGAAAUCUCCGAGCUUAACUCGGAGACUGCCAUUGAUACUAUUUGUCUUGAAUAUUGUGGAGGUAAGCGGAAUAUGUCAUGUAGCGGUGAAAUGCUUAGAUAUGACAUAGAACACCAAUUGCGAAGGCAGCUUACUACACAAUGAUUGACGCUGAGGCACGAAAGCGUGGGGAUCAAACAGG
rnacentral:rRNA from 1 species